rnacentral:rRNA from 1 species
GUGGCAGCAGCCGCGGUAAUACGAAGGGGGCUAGCGUUGUUCGGAAUUACUGGGCGUAAAGGGCGCGUAGGCGGCCGCUCAAGUCAGGCGUGAAAUCCCCGGGCUUAACCUGGGAAUUGCGCUUGAGACUGUGUGGCUUGAGUUCGGGAGAGGUGAGUGGAAUUCCCAGUGUAGAGGUGAAAUUCGUAGAUAUUGGGAAGAACACCAGUGGCGAAGGCGGCUCACUGGACCGAUACUGACGCUGAGGCGCGAAAGCGUGGGGAGCAAACAGGAUUAGAUACCCCAGUAGUC